rfam:Triticum aestivum genome assembly, contig: Triticum_aestivum_CS42_TGACv1_scaffold_578888_7BL
GAGAUACUCUAUCCGUCUGAAAAAACUUGUCUCAAGCUUGUCCCUUAAAUGGAUAUAUCUAGCACUAACUUGGUGCUAGAUACAUCCAUUUAAAGACAAGCUUUUUCAGACGAAGGAAGUAUGUG